rnacentral:misc_RNA from 1 species
GUCCAUCUCUUCUCAGGUUGGAUUUUUGGUGCCUCUAAGUGAUAAUUUGGAAGAGGAUGGGAAAAGUUCCAUACCCAAGAUUCCACUCUCAGAAGGUCCUAAUUGUGUUGGACGGGAUUGCAUUCCAGUUACUGAUAAGCGGCUGAGCCGCAAGCAUCUUAUUAUCACUGCUACCUGCACUGGCUCUGCUGAUGUUGUUGUGGAAGGAACAAAUCCAGUUGUUAUAAGAUCAAAGGGUGAGAGGAAGAAGCUUUUGUCUAGAGAGAGGUGGAAACUCG